UGUAGUUUAAUUGGCUCGUGCAUCAUGAAACACCAACGCCUAAAUCUGUUGGCCAUCAAGGUCUGACUGUAUCAGUGAAGCAGACUUAAAAUUCACUCACUGGCUGAAUUUUACAGACCUGGUAAAGAAUAAUAAGAAUUCAGCACUAGAAUCCAAGGUUCACUC